rnacentral:rRNA from 1 species
CUGGCGGCGUGCCUAAUACAUGCAAGUCGAGCGCGGGAAGCAGACUGAAAUCUUCGGAUGGACGUCUGUGGAACGAGCGGCGGAUGGGUGAGUAUCACGUGGGCAACCUGCCUGUAAGCUCGGGAUAACUCGCGGAAACGCGGGCUAAUACCGAAUGACCCUUGCAUCCGCAUGGAUGCAAGAUAAAAGGCGGCUUUUGCCGUCACUUACAGAUGGGCCCGCGGCGCAUUAGCUAGUUGGUGGGGUAAUGGCUCACCAAAGCGACGAUGCGUAGCCGACCUGAGAGGGUGAUCGGCCACACUGGGACUGAGACACGGCCCAGACUCCUACGGGAGGCAGCAGUAGGGAAUCUUCCGCAAUGGACGAAGGUCUGACGGAGCAACGCCGCGUGAAGUGACGAAGGUCUUCGGAUCGUAAAACUCUGUUGUCAGGGAAGAACGAGCAUCGGCCGAAUAAGCCGGCGCUUUGACGGUACCUGACCAGAAAGCCCCGGCUAACUACGUGCCAGCCGCAGC